AAUUACUGAUGCAAAAAGUUGUACAAAUGAGGAAAUACAUGUUGGCUCAACAUAAUGGUUGUGUCAAAAAAGAAAAAUAUGUUUGGUCAAUGAUUGCAUGAUUUCCAUGAUUGUACUACAAAAUGUUCAUCAAGAGAAAAUAAAUAAUUAUGUUGAGAUAACUUUUAACGUUGCACAAAAAAUAUUAUGUUGGCCGAGCAAGAGAGAACAGCGUCAAUCGUCUGAGCAUGCGCAAAGGAGUUCUACCAGGCAGCGCUGCAGCAGGCUGGAGUCACGACAUUGCAUUGUCAGCAUUCCUGACAUCGCUGGACAAUCACACCCAGGGGUUGCUAAAGAUGUACAGAGCCAAAGCAAGACAGGGAAGGUGAAACAACUUGGAUGAACUUCUGGAACAACUGGAUGCCCAGACCACAGAUCUAACUACUCAUUGAAGGUCUGCUGUUCUUAGUGGUCUUCCCCUGUACUUGAGAGAGCCAGCUUCAAUUUCAAAGACUAUUAAGGAUACUGAGGCACUGGGGCCACACACAAAGGCCAUGACAAUGAAGUGACUGACAGUUCUACCAACUCAGGACCUUAUCCCACAGUGGUCAAUGUGGCUGUAGUAGAGGAAGUUGUCAUGGACAAUCUGGGAGACUUCACAAAUUCCCUCAUGAUGUUUGUUUCGGCACUGGUUGAAUACUUGUGUAAUAUUUUACUUGAGCCUAACAGGCAAAUUCAUAUGUAUUUAAAUAAAUAAAUAAAAUGUUUUUUUUAUCAAAGCCUAGUGUGUAAUUUAUUUGAAAUAAUGAAAAAUAGACUAUUUUGACCAAGAAUAAAUAUUUAAUACAACAUUUUAUUUCAAUUUGAGUCUGCUUGUUGGCCCAACAAGCUAUGUUUAGUCAACAGAAAAUAUUUAAUUGACACAACAUUCUAUUUCAAGUUCAGUCUACAUGCAGGGGUAGUCAGCACAACACAAAAAAGUUGGUUUCCGCAACUUAAA